GCCCUUGUAGCUCAAUGGACAGAGCGUCUGUCUUCGGAACAGAUGAUGGGGGUUCGAUUCCCUCCAAGGGCACAA
rnacentral:tRNA from 2 species